GUACUCACUUCAGCAGCACAUAUACUAAAAUCUGAAGGAUACAGAGAAGAUUAGCAUGGCCCCUGCACAAGGAUUACAUGCAAAUUCCAGAAGCGUUCCAUAUUUAA